rnacentral:rRNA from 1 species
GUGGCGGACGGGUGAGUAAUGUCUGGGAAACUGCCUGAUGGAGGGGGAGUAACUACUGGAAACGGUAGCUAAUACCGCAUAACGUCGCAAGACCAAAGAGGGGGACCUUCGGGCCUCUUGCCAUCGGAUGUGCCCAGAUGGGAUUAGCUAGUAGGUGGGGUAACGGCUCACCUAGGCGACGAUCCCUAGCUGGUCUGAGAGGAUGACCAGCCACACUGGAACUGAGACACGGUCCAGACUCCUACGGGAGGCAGCAUG